rnacentral:rRNA from 1 species
GAUGAACGCUGGCGGCGUGCUUAACACAUGCAAGUCGAACGUGAGGGGGUAGCAAUAUCCUUGAAAGUGGCGCACGGGUGAGUAAUACGUAGGUAACCUGCCCUGGAGUGGGGGAUAACAACUGGAAACGGUUGCUAAUACCGCAUGAAGCCAAGACACUGGGAAGUGACUUGGUAAAAACUCUGGUGCUUCAGGAGGGGCCUACGGCCGAUUAGCUAGUUGGCGGGGUAAGAGCCCACCAAGGCAUUGAUCGGUAGCUGGUCUGAGAGGACGAUCAGCCACACGGGAACUGAGACACGGUCCCGACUCCUACGGGGGCAGCAGUGAGGAAUAUUGGGCAAUGGGCGCAAGCCUGACCCAGCAACGCCGCGUGGAGGAAGACGGCCUU